AAGAUCAAAGAGUUGAAGGUGAAUUUGCAUUCAUUUGUUCUUUUUUAUGUUGAGAAUGAAAUGCUAAGAUUUGGGCAUGCAUGUGCAUUUGUUAAUUGCUUAACAGCGUGUUGUCUGAAAAAGGGUUAUGGAUAACAAAGUGAUCUGGUGCACGAAGCAUCCUACAUUUUUGGGCUAUGGGGAGGGUUAACUAUUAAAUUGUGAUUUUGUCUCGUAUAGGCUGAAAAGAAUGAGCUUCGG
rnacentral:misc_RNA from 1 species